ensembl:lncRNA OIP5-AS1 OIP5 antisense RNA 1
GGCCACCUUGAGAAGCUGCGAAGAUGGCGGAGUAAGGCGUGCCGCUGCAAACUGGCCUCUGGGCCGGGGGCGAGCAGCCCCCGGGAGGCCGAGUGCAUCUGUUGGACCGUGCGAGGAGAAGAAAAAAAAUAUCGGCCAGAGGAGAGGAACUAACCGAACAUUCUUCCUCCCUACCUUAUAGAGGGGAGUGGUCAUCUACACUAAAGCAAAGUGUUAGGCGCGUCCGUGCGAAGAGACCACCAAACAGGCUUUGUGUUCCUUAUCACAGGAAGAAAAUUUUCCUUGACCUUUAGGUGCUUUUAUAUUCAUCUCAAAAACAAAAUUCUGAACUCAGGACUUGGCAAACGGAGUUUCACUCUGUUGCUCAGGCCAGAGUGCAGUGGCACAAUCUCAGAUCACUGCAACCUCUGCCUCCCGGGUUCAAGCAAUUCUCCUGCCUCAGCCUCCCGAGUAGCUGGAAUUACAGUCUCUCUCUGUUGCCCAGGCUGGAGUGAUGCGUGAUUUCUGCUCACUGCAGUCUCUCCCACCCGGGUUCAAGCGAUUCUCCUGCCUCAGCCUCCCAAGUAGCUAGGAUUACAGGCGCGCACCACCACGCUCAGCCUGAUUUCUAGGCUGAAAAGGCUGGGACUCAGGUACUUUCCCCAGUUGGGACUGAACUUUCUCAUCAGAGAAUGGGCCUCAGAAGCAAUGUUCCCAAACUUGUGGUUGGGUCAUCGUGGAAAAGAAACCUCAAAUAAGAAAAAUAAUUACAAUAAGAAAUGGAUUUUCUUUUUUCCCACAACAGUUAUACAUUAUAAAGAACAGACUGUCGUAGAAAACUGUCUUUGCUUCCAAAUCAGCAGAGGACCAUUGUAUGUAUUGUCAGGUCUUUAUAUAAGAGUGAAACCUUUAUUUAUGCUUCUUGUGAGUAGAGAAUAAAUUUUAAAACUAAUUAGAUGAAAUUAAGAACAGAGUAUUGGAACAUCUCUGUGUUUUCCGGAAUGUUUACUCAGGUCCAUGAAUGCUGUGAUGCUGGGAACUUAGGGAAGAUUCACCAAAAUUUGAGAGUGAUAAAAAUGGCCUAAAAUGGGAAAUGGUGAGCACUCUUAUUAUUAGUGAGAUUGGUCAAUCAGCCCAUUUGAAAUGGGUAAAAAAUACUUUCAGUAAAAUAAUUACAUAUUAUAUAUAAAAUAUUUCUUUUUUUGAGGGCAGCUACUGAGUGAUAAAAGCAUAGUAGAAAUCACUUUGGUUAAAAGUAACUCAAAUUUUUCUCUUAAGUAAUCUACCAACUUCCUGAUGUUUUUCUUUAAUAUUUUGGAACUGUUCAAGACAGAAUGGAGCCUACAUAUAUGGUGUUCCACUAGUAUGUUGAAAAUGUCAUAUCAUGGAGAAUGGAGACACCUUCCAGGUGUCUGUUAAACCCAUCUUCUCUGUGUACUUCUGGCAUCUUUUUUGGUAGGAUCAUUUGGCAGGGGGUAGAGUACCUGUACUUUUGGCACCAUUGAAACCAGCUCUGGCCCACUUGUUUGAAUAGCUAUCAGACUCAGCGUCUCUAUAUGCUUUAUAUACAGUUGAGAGAACCAGUGUUUAAUGCUCUUGAAAUUGUAUCUUCCAUGCUUCAGACCAGAUGCAUUUAACAAAAUGGAUAUAUUCCAGCUGUAGUUGCCCAGUGUUUACUUAACACAUCUACAUUUUUUUCUUGUCUAUUUUGGUCCCCUUGAUAGGAAAAGCUAUAAUUUUAGGCAGGACUAUACGUCGAUUUGUAGCCAUGCUUCCUUCCUUUCCCUUGCUCAUCCAUGUUAGCUGGCAGUUUUUCUUUUGAAAAGUUAAAACCGGGAUAUGUGCAAUAGAAAUAUAUAUAUAUAUAUGUAUAUUUUAAUACUUGUGGACAAAUGUUACAAGUUGUUUAAGAACAACAAAAUCACCAAUGUCUUCCAUUUUGAGAUGUGUAUAGUUUUGUAAGCAUUAGUGCUUGGUAGCAUAUUGUAGUGCCAUGUUAGGGGUUAGUGCAUGAGUCUAGUGAUUUUAAACUUCAGGAUGAAUUAUUGAUAAUAACAAAUAGUGUAAAAAGAGUGGAAAAUCUAAACCUUUUCUUUUUCCAUAAUGUCUAAAUCUGUUAUAUUCUUCCUGGGGAAAAGAGAUUAAGGCCCAAAAGACUCAUUUAUGAAUAGAAAUGUGGGGUCAAAAUCUGAGAUACUAUAUUUGAGGACAUUUCAGCUUUCCAUAAGGUAUCUGGAAACCAGCUGUCUUUGUGUCUUAUGAAACCUCAAGUCAAAAUGAGACCGCAUUUAAUUAUUCUGCUUUGCUCUUUUUUUGGGGUGGGGGGGAGAUAGAGUUUCACUCUGUCACCCAGGCUGGAGUGCAGUGGCACAAUCUUUGCUCACUGUAACCUCUGCCUCUUGGGUUCAAGUGAUUCUCGUGCCCCAGCCUCCCGAGUAGCUGGGACUACAGGCACGUGCCACCACGCCCAGCUAAUUUUUAUAUUUUUAGUAGAGACGGGGUUUUGCUGUGUUGGCCAGGCUGGUCUCAAACUCCUGACCUCAAGUAAUCCACCUGGCCUGCUCUUUUCAUGUCUUAACAUGGCAUGUCUUUUAGUUUCAUUAUUUUCCUACUCCUUGUAUGUCAAGAAAUUACAUUUUGCAUGUCUUAUGGAGAUGCUGUUAAUUGCUUCAGUGAGUGCUUUUCUAAUCUGCAGACCAUUUACAUUUCCUGUUUGCAGCAUGCUGUGUGCAAACACUCAGUAAUUUGGAGUAUUCAAUUAUUUGUUAGGGCUCUUCCUAUUUCCAAAUGUGCUGAAUUGUCUAUUGAUGGGAUUUUCAGAUCUUUUCAUGAGAACUGGAAAUGUAGCUGGGUGGCACCUACCUAGGUUGCUACGUAGUGAGUAGACUUUCUCUUGGGUAUAGUAAGCCUCAGACAGCUUUCACUUUUAUCUACUUUACUUGUGGAAAUAAAACAGUCAUUUUGUUCUGAAAGAAUAAGAUAGCUUUCUGUAGAGAAGGAAUUCCUACCUCUAAAAGCUGCCUUGAGAACUCAGAACUGGCAGUUUUCUGAGGUGAUUUUUAAAUUUCAGUAUUAGGGAGAGUCCAGCAUUUGCUGACACAGAUUCUACAUAACUAAUGUAUGAUAGCAAAUGCAAAACUAUUAUAAUGUGGUGUAUCUUGCGCAUACACAGGUUAGAACAAGUAGACUCUGGCAGCAGAUCUCCAGAGACCCAAGUUUAGGUUCUCAUAGUGUAUUUGAAGUA